AGAAUCAACGCUGGCGGCGUGCCUAACACAUGCAAGUCGCACGAGAAAGUAGACUUCGGUCUGCGAGUAAAGUGGCGCACGGGUGAGUAACACGUGAAUAAUCUACCUCCGAGUGGGGAAUAACUUCGGGAAACCGAGGCUAAUACCGCAUAACACUUACGAGUCAAAGCAGCAAUGCGCUUGGAGAGGAGUUCGCGGCAGAUUAGUUAGUUGGCGGGGUAAUGGCCCACCAAGACGAUGAUCUGUAUCCGGCCUGAGAGGGCGCACGGACACACUGGAACUGAAACACGGUCCAGACUCCUACGGAGGCAGCAGUGGGGAAUUUUGCGCAAUGGGGGAAACCCUGACGCAGCAACGCCGCGUGGAGGAAGAAAUAUCUUGGUAUGUAAACUCCUUUCGAUCGGGACGAUAAUGACGGUACCGAGAGAAGAGCCCCGGCUAACUUCGUGCCAGCAGCCGC
rnacentral:rRNA from 1 species